GUUUCCGUAGUGUAGCGGUUAUCACGUCUGCUUCACACGCGGAAGGUCGCCGGUUCGAUCCCGGGCGGGAACA
rnacentral:tRNA from 1 species